CACGUAGGGCGCGAGCGUUGUCCGGAAUUAUUGGGCGUAAAGAGCUCGUAGGCGGCCUGUUGCGUCCGCUGUGAAAGCCCGGGGCUUAACCCCGGGUCGGCAGUGGAUACGGGCAGGCUAGAGGUAGGUAGGGGAGGAUGGAAUUCCCGGUGUAGCGGUGAAAUGACGCAGAUAUCGGGAGGAACACCGGUGGCGAAGGCGGUUCUCUGGGCCUUACCUGACGCUGAGGAGCGAAAGCGUGGGGAGCGAACAGG
rnacentral:rRNA from 1 species